rnacentral:rRNA from 1 species
CCUACGGGAGGCAGCAGUGGGGAAUUUUGGACAAUGGGGGCAACCCUGAUCCAGCAAUGCCGCGUGUGUGAAGAAGGCCUUCGGGUUGUAAAGCACUUUUGUCAGGAACGAAACGGUGGGGGCUAAUACCUUCUGCUAAUGACGGUACCUGAAGAAUAAGCACCGGCUAACUACGUGCCAGCAGCCGCGGUAAUACGUAGGGUGCGAGCGUUAAUCGGAAUUACUGGGCGUAAAACGUGCGCAGGCGGUUGUGCAAGACAGAUGUGAAAUCCCCGGGCUCAACCUGGGAAUGGCAUUUGUGACUGCACGGCUAGAGUGUGUCAGAGGGGGGUAGAAUUCCACGUGUAGCAGUGAAAUGCGUAGAUAUGUGGAGGAAUACCGAUGGCGAAGGCAGCCCCCUGGGAUAACACUGACGCUCAGGCACGAAAGCGUGGGGAGCAAACAGGAUUAGAUACCCUGGUAGUCCACGCCCUAAACGAUGUCUACUAGUUGUCGGGUCUUAAUUGACUUGGUAACGCAGCUAACGCGUGAAGUAGACCGCCUGGGGAGUACGGUCGCAAGAUUAAAACUCAAAGGAAUUGACGG